GUGGGGAAUAUUGGACAAUGGGCGAAAGCCUGAUCCAGCCAUGCCGCGUGUGUGAAGAAGGUCUUCGGAUUGUAAAGCACUUUAAGUUGGGAGGAAGGGCAGUAAGUUAAUACCUUGCUGUUUUGACGUUACCAACAGAAUAAGCACCGGCUAACUUCGUGCCAGCAGCCGCGGUAAUACUAAGGGUGCAAGCGUUAAUCGGAAUUACUGGGCGUAAAGCGCGCGUAGGUGGUUCAGCAAGUUGAAGGUGAAAUCCCCGGGCUCAACCUGGGAACUGCCUCCAAAACGAGUGAGCUAGAGUACGGUAGAGGGUAGUGGAAUUUCCUGUGUAGCGGUGAAAUGCGUAGAUAUAGGAAGGAACACCAGUGGCGAAGGCGACUACCUGGACUGAUACUGACACUGAGGUGCGAAAGCGUGGGGAGCAAACAGGAUUAGAUACCCUUGUAGUCC
rnacentral:rRNA from 1 species